rnacentral:rRNA from 1 species
AGCGAACGCUGGCGGCAGGCCUAACACAUGCAAGUCGAACGGAUCCUUCGGGAUUAGUGGCGGACGGGUGAGUAACACGUGGGAACGUGCCCUUUGGUUCGGAACAACUCAGGGAAACUUGAGCUAAUACCGGAUGUGCCCUUCGGGGGAAAGAUUUAUCGCCAUUGGAGCGGCCCGCGUCUGAUUAGCUAGUUGGUGUGGUAACGGCCGACCAAGGCGACGAUCAGUAGCUGGUCUGAGAGGAUGAUCAGCCACACUGGGACUGAGACACGGCCCAGACUCCUACGGGAGGCAGCAGUGGGGAAUCUUGCGCAAUGGGCGAAAGCCUGACGCAGCCAUGCCGCGUGAAUGAUGAAGGUCUUAGGAUUGUAAAAUUCUUUCAGCGGGGACGAUAAUGACGGUACCCGCAGAAGAAGCUCCGGCUAACUUCGUG